GGGAAUGUAGCUUAGUGGUAAAGCGCUUGCCUAGCAUGCAUGAAGCCCUGGGUUCGAUUCCUCAGUACCA
rnacentral:tRNA from 1 species